rnacentral:rRNA from 1 species
UACAGAGGGUGCAAGCGUUAAUCGGAAUUACUGGGCGUAAAGCGUGCGUAGACGGUUACGUAGGUCGGUUGUGAAAACUGGAGGCUCAACCUUCAGAGGUCGACCGAAACCAUCUGGCUAGAGUCCGGGAGAGGAGAGUGGAAUUCCUGGUGUAGCGGUGAAAUGCGCAGAUAUCAGGAAGAACACCCGUGGCGAAAGCGGCUCCCUGGAACGGUACUGACGCUGAGACGCGAAAGCGUGGGGAGCGAACAGG